CCCUAGCCCUGAUAGAAGCGGUAUCCUUUUAUGGUGGGGUUCACCAUAAAAGAUAUAGCGAAUAGCAGGAAACAGC
rnacentral:sRNA from 1 species